rnacentral:rRNA from 1 species
GAUGAACGCUGGCGGCGUGCUUAACACAUGCAAGUCGAACGAUGAAGCCCAGCUUGCUGGGUGGAUUAGUGGCGAACGGGUGAGUAACACGUGAGUAACCUGCCCUUGACUCUGGGAUAAGCCUGGGAAACUGGGUCUAAUACUGGAUAUGACUUCUCAUCGCAUGGUGGAGGGUGGAAAGAUUUAUUGGUCUUGGAUGGACUCGCGGCCUAUCAGCUUGUUGGUGAGGUAAUGGCUCACCAAGGCGACGACGGGUAGCCGGCCUGAGAGGGUGACCGGCCACACUGGGACUGAGACACGGCCCAGACUCCUACGGGAGGCAGCAGUGGGGAAUAUUGCACAAUGGGCGCAAGCCUGAUGCAGCGACGCCGCGUGAGGGAUGACGGCCUUCGGGUUGUAAACCUCUUUCAGUAGGGAAGAAGCGAGAGUGACGGUACCUGCAGAAGAAGCGCCGGCUAACUACGUG